GUGUCAGCCGCCGCGGUAAUACGUAGGGGGCGAGCGUUGUCCGGAUUUAUUGGGCGUAAAGCGCGUGUAGGCGGCCAGGUAGGUCAGCUGUGAAAACUCGAGGCUUAACCUCGAGAUGUCGGCUGAAACCAUCUGGCUAGAGUCCGGAAGAGGAGAAUGGAAUUCCCGGUGUAGCGGUGAAAUGCGCAGAUAUCGGGAAGAACACCCGUGGCGAAGGCGGUUCUCUGGGACGGUACUGACGCUGAGACGCGAAAGCGUGGGGAGCGAACAGGAUUAGAUACCCUAGUAGUCC
rnacentral:rRNA from 1 species